rnacentral:rRNA from 1 species
CCCUUAGAUGUUCUGGGCGGCACGCGCGCUACAAUGGUCUUCGCAAACGGAUGCAUUCUCGAAGGAGAAUGCCAAUCUUGGAAUCUAUGCCUUGGUCGGGACAGUUGUUUGCAAUUUUUCGACUCGAACCAGGAAUUCCUUGUAAUCGUGAUUCAUCACAUCACGAUGAAUACGUCCCUGCCCUUUGUACACACCGCCCGUCGCUCCUACCGAUCGAAGAGUUAGGUGAAUUGUUUUGAUCGAUAAGAUUUGACUAUGGUCAACUCUCGUUGUGAAAUUCUGUGAAUCUGACUGUUUAGAGGAAGGAAAAGUCGUAACA